CCCCCAAACUGCCCCCUGACCUUCUGCCCCUCCAGAAAAGCUUUGCUGGGGGGAAGGUCUCUCUCCACGACUGCUUCAGCCUCUUCACCAAGGAGGAGGAGCUGGACUCGGAGAACGCCCCGGUGUGUGACAAGUGCCGGCAGCGCACGCGGAGCACCAAGAAGUUGACGAUCCAGCGCUUCCCCCGGAUCCUGGUGCUCCACCUGAACCGGUUCUCCACCACCCGCUACUCCAUCAAGAAAUGCUCCGUGUUCGUGGAUUUCCCGCUGCAGCAGCUCAACCUGCGGGAAUUCGCCAGCGAGAAGGCGGGUGAGGGAGG